GAUGAACGCUGGCGGCGUGCCUAAUACAUGCAAGUCGAACGAAUCUUCUUCGGAAGAUGAGUGGCGAACGGGUGAGUAAUACAUAGGUAACCUGCCCCUGUGCGGGGGAUAACAGGAGGAAACUCCUGCUAAUACCGCAUAGCCAUGAGCACCGCAUGGAGCUCAUGCCAAAUAUCCUUCAGGGGAUAGCGCAGGGAUGGACCUAUGGCGCAUUAGCUUGUUGGCGGGGCAACGGCCCACCAAGGCAACGAUGCGUAGCCGGCCUGGGAGGGCGGACGGCCACAUUGGGACUGAGACACGGCCCAGACUCCUACGGGAGGCAGCAGUAGGGAAUUUUCGGCAAUGGGGGAAACCCUGACCGAGCAACGCCGCGUGAGCGAAGAAGGCCUUCGGGUCGUAAAGCUCUGUUGUAAAGGAAGAACGUCGCAUGCAGGAAAUGGUGUGCGAGUGACGGUACAUUACCAGAAAGCCACGGCUAACUACGUGCCAGCAGCCGCAGUAACAC
rnacentral:rRNA from 1 species